UACGAAGGGGGCUAGCGUUGUUCGGAAUUACUGGGCGUAAAGCGCGUGUAGGCGGGUCUUUUAAGUCAGGGGUGAAAUGCCAAGGCUCAACCUUGGAACUGCCUUUGAUACUGGAGAUCUUGAGUCCGGGAGAGGUGAGUGGAACUGCGAGUGUAGAGGUGAAAUUCGUAGAUAUUCGCAAGAACACCAGUGGCGAAGGCGGCUCACUGGCCCGGAACUGACGCUGAGACGCGAAAGUGUGGGGGAGCGAACAGG
rnacentral:rRNA from 1 species